rnacentral:rRNA from 1 species
UACGUAGGGUGCAAGCGUUAAUCGGAAUUACUGGGCGUAAAGCGUGCGCAGGCGGCUUUGCAAGACAGAUGUGAAAUCCCCGGGCUUAACCUGGGAACUGCAUUUGUGACUGCAUGGCUGGAGUGCGGCAGAGGGGGAUGGAAUUCCGCGUGUAGCAGUGAAAUGCGUAGAUAUGCGGAGGAACGCCGAUGGCGAAGGCAAUCCCCUGGGCCUGCACUGACGCUCAUGCACGAAAGCGUGGGGAGCAAACAGG